rnacentral:rRNA from 1 species
GACGAACGCUGGCGGUAGGCUUAACACAUGCAAGUCGGACGGUAGCAGGAAAUAAGUUUACUUAUUUUGCUGACGAGUGGCGGACGGGUGAGUAACGCGUGGGAAUCUACCCUAUAGUUGGGGACAACGUAUGGAAACGUACGCUAAUACCGAAUACGCUCUACGGAGUAAAGGAGCCCUCUUCAUGAAAGGUUUCGCUAUAGGAUGAGCCCGCGUAAGAUUAGCUAGUUGGUGAGGUAAUGGCUCACCAAGGCGACGAUCUUUAGCUGGUUUGAGAGGAUGAUCAGCCACACUGGGACUGAGACACGGCCCAGACUCCUACGGGAGGCAGCAGUGGGGAAUAUUGGACAAUGGACGAAAGUCUGAUCCAGCCAUACCGCGUGUGUGAAGAAGGCCUUCGGGUUGUAAAGCACUUUCAGUUGGGAGGAAGAUUAAGUAGUUAAUACCUGCUUAGUUUGACGUUACCUUCAGAAGAAGCACCGGCUAACUCUGU